rfam:Schistosoma mansoni strain Puerto Rico chromosome 5, complete genome
AUCCAGCUGACGAGUUCCAAAUACGAGGAAACGCGCGUCCUGGAU